UUGCACUGAAAUCGAACCUUUCAGAGAAGUUUUUGAAGGCGAGUUGUAUGAAAUCAACCCCGAAAUCACACAGACCGAAGUUGUAGUCAAGUUGGAGAGUGAAUUCGCCUUUUGGUUCGAGCAAUAUGUGAAAGACCAAACUGUCUGUACCAAUCCCUAUAUUCUAAGUCUUGCAGAAGGACCGCUUAGAUCGGUCAAAACAUUCAAGGGGUAUUGUGUGAACGGGUUUAAAUUCAAUACUGAAGAAUAUGGGGAGGAUCGGGUUACAAUGAAUAGCGGAGUUUGUGUA